rnacentral:lncRNA from 10 species
CUAUUUAAGAGCUUUCAUAUACAGUCAUGAGUUGCUUGCCAUCAUAGCGUAUACUUACACAAACUUAGGUGGUAUAGCCUACAGCACACCUAAGCUAUUUUUAGUAGAGACAGGGUUUCACCACGUUGGCCAGGCUAGUCUUGAACUCCUGACCUCGUGAUCCACCCGUCUUGGCCUCCCAAAGUGCUGGGAUUACAGGCGUGAGCCAUGGCAUCUGGCCUGUUUGUUUGUUUUUUGAGAUGGAGUUUCGCUCUUGUUGGCCAGGAUUCAGUGCAAUGGCAUGAUGUUGGCUCACAGCAACCUUCGCCUCCCAGUUCAAGUGAUUCUCUUGCCUCAGCCUCCCGAGUAGCGGGGAUUACAGGCAUGCGCCACCAUUUCUCCAUGUUGGUCAGGCUGGUCUUGAACUCCUGACCUCAGGUGAUCCGCCGGCCUCGGCCUCCCAAAGCACUGGCAUUACAGGUGUGAGCCACCACGCCUGGCUCUGUUACCCUUGAGUUUUUAUCUCCACAUACUUGAAUUAAGCCGUGUAGUUCUUCUUCCCAUCUGACAUCUACAAUCUCUUCACUGGGUC